rnacentral:sRNA from 1 species
AGUUGUUAAUGUAAAUUCAGUGUAAGUUUAGUGUUAUACAAGUCACGAAAUCUUUCGUUAUACCUGUGUCAACUGCACCUAGAUCGACCAUUCAGCUUAUCUCGGCCAAAAACUCAUUCAAUUAAAACUUAAGAUAUUUAGAGGUGACUAUGUCUGGUAAAAUGACUGGUACAGUAAAAUGGUUCAACGAAACUAAAGGCUUCGGCUUCAUUUCUCAAGACAACGGUGGUAAAGACGUAUUCGUACACUUUAACUCUAUCGUUUCUGAAGGUUUCAAAACGUUAGCUGAAGGUCAAAAAGUGAGCUUCAACGUUGAAGAAGGCAAAAAAGGCCCACAAGCGACUCAAGUAACCGCUCUGUAAGCAUUUCAUGCCAAUAAUUUCAAAACGCAGUGCCUCGGCACUGCGUUUUACU